rnacentral:rRNA from 1 species
UACGUAGGUCCCGAGCGUUGUCCGGAUUUAUUGGGCGUAAAGCGAGCGCAGGUGGUUUAUUAAGUCUGGUGUAAAAGGCAGUGGCUCAACCAUUGUAUGCAUUGGGAACUGGUAGACUUGAGUGCAGGAGAGGAGAGUGGAAUUCCAUGUGUAGCGGUGAAAUGCGUAGAUAUAUGGAAGAACACCAGUGGCGAAGGCGGCUCUCUGGUCUGCAACUGACGCUGAGGCUCGAAAGCAUGGGUAGCGAACAGG